UACAGAGGUGGCAAGCGUUGCUCGGUAUCACUGGGCUUAAAGGGCGCGUAGGCGGUGCGGUACGGUUUCGGUGAAAUCCCUCGGCCCAACCGAGGAACAGCCGGGGCUACGGCCGCGCUCGACGGCAUCAGGGGACAGUGGAACUCCCGGUGGAGCGGUGAAAUGCGUAGAUAUCGGGAGGAACGCCGGUGGCGAAAGCGACUGUCUGGGGUGCCUGUGACGCUGAGGCGCGAAAGCCAGGGGAUCAAACAGG
rnacentral:rRNA from 1 species